rnacentral:rRNA from 1 species
AACGAACGCUGGCGGCAGGCCUAACACAUGCAAGUCGAACGGGCGUAGCAAUACGUCAGUGGCGCACGGGUGAGUAACGCGUGGGUACCUGUCUGAUGGUAGGGGAUAACCGCGGGAAACUGCGGCUAAUACCCUAUGUGUCCUUCGGGACAAAGAUUUAUCGCCAUCAGGUGGGCCCGCGUAGGAUUAGCUAGUUGGUGAGGUAACGGCUCACCAAGGCGACGAUCCUUAGCUGGUCUGAGAGGACGAUCAGCCACACUGGGACUGAGACACGGCCCAGACUCCUACGGGGGGCAGCAGUGGGGAAUAUUGGACAAUGUGGGCAACCCUGAUCCAGCCAUGCCGCGUGAGUGAUGAAGGCCUUCGGGUUGUAAAGCUCUUUUGGCGGGGACGAUGAUGACGGUACCCGCAGAAUAAGCUCCGGCUAACUUCGUGCCAGCAGCCGCCGUAA